UGAGGAAUAUUGGUCAAUGGGUGCAAGCCUGAACCAGCCAUCCCGCGUGAAGGACGACUGCCCUAUGGGUUGUAAACUUCUUUUGUAUAGGGAUAAACCUACCCUCGUGAGGGUAGCUGAAGGUACUAUACGAAUAAGCACCGGCUAACUCCGUGCCAGCAGCCGCGGUAAUACGGAGGGUGCAAGCGUUAUCCGGAUUUAUUGGGUUUAAAGGAUCCGUAGGCGGACUUAUAAGUCAGUGGUGAAAGCCUGUCGCUUAACGAUAGAACUGCCAUUGAUACUGUAAGUCUUGAGUAUAUUUGAGGUUGCUGGAAUAAGUAGUGUAGCGGUGAAAUGCAUAGAUAUUACUUAGAACACCAAUUGCGAAGGCAGGUUACCAAGAUAUAACUGACGCUGAGGGACGAAAGCGUGGGGAGCGAACA
rnacentral:rRNA from 1 species